rnacentral:RNase_P_RNA from 1 species
GUGUGUGGAUUGGCGGUCGCGAGUUUGAUUUCAAACUCGAGGAAAGUCCGGACACGACAAGGCACGGUGGUGGAUAACGUCCACCGACAGUAGAUCGUCUGUUAGGGAAAGUGCUACAGAAAUAAACCGCCGAUGGUUACUUUAGUAACACAGGNAAGGGUGAAAGGGUGCGGUAAGAGCGCACCGCUGAGUUGGUGACAACUUGGGUCUUGGGUAAACCCCACCGCGUGCAAGCGCAAGCAGUUCUUCGUUUACUUUUUGUAAACGUCUCACGCCCUUGGGGAAUUGAAGAACGGGUAGCGUGCAAGAGUGACUCGGCAACGGGUCGCCUCAGAUGAAUGACCGCCCGCGACAGAAUCCGGCUUAUGUCCACACACGAUC